GGUCUCAUGGUGUAAUGGUUAGCACUCUGGACUUUGAAUCCAGCGAUCUGAGUUCAAAUCUCGGUGAGACCU
rnacentral:tRNA from 1 species